AGCAGCCGCGGUAAUUCCAGCUCCAAUAGCGUAUAUUAAAGUUGUUGCAGUUAAAAAGCUCGUAGUUGAAUUUCGGGAUUGGCGCAUCGGUCGUGCCUCACGGGGUAUGAACUGGUGCAGUCAAUUUCUCACCUUCUGGAGAACCGCGAUGUCCUUAAUUGGAUGCCGCGGGGAACCAGGACCUUUACUUUGAAAAAUUAGAGUGUUUAAAGCAGGCAUUUUUGCUUGAAUACAUUAGCAUGGAAUAAUAAAAUAGGACGGCAUGGUUCUAUUUUGUUGGUUUCUAGGACCACCGUAAUGAUUAAUAGGGAUAGUUGGGGGCAUUAGUAUUCAAUUGCCAGAGGUGAAAUUCUUGGAUUUAUUGAAGACUAACUACUGCGAAAGCAUUUGCCAAGGAUGUUUUCAUUAAUCAAGAACGAGAGUUAGGGGAUCGAAGACGAUCAGAUACCGUCGUAGUCUUAACCAUAAACUAUGCCGACUAGGAAUCAGACGAUGUUAAUUUUUAAUGUACUCGUUUGCA
rnacentral:rRNA from 1 species